rnacentral:rRNA from 1 species
UCUGUUGAACUCUUUGCCCUUUAAAGGGUGGUCACUAAGUCUGAUCUUGGAAGCUAAGCAGGGUCAAGCCUGGUUAAGUACUUGAAAGGGAGACUGCCUGGGAAUACGGGCACUACAGGC